rnacentral:rRNA from 1 species
AACGAACGCUGGCGGCAUGCCUAACACAUGCAAGUCGAACGAGACCUUCGGGUCUAGUGGCGCACGGGUGCGUAACGCGUGGGAACCUGCCCUUAGGUUCGGAAUAACUCCCCGAAAGGGGUGCUAAUCCCGGAUAAUGUCUUCGGCCCAAAGAUUUAUCGCCUUUGGAUGGGCCCGCGUUGGAUUAGCUAGUUGGUAGGGUAAAAGCCUACCAAGGCGACGAUCCAUAGCUGGUCUGAGAGGAUGAUCAGCCACACUGGGACUGAGACACGGCCCAGACUCCUACGGGAGGCAGCAGUGGGGAAUAUUGGACAAUGGGCGAAAGCCUGAUCCAGCAAUGCCGCGUGAGUGAUGAAGGCCUUAGGGUUGUAAAGCUCUUUUACCCGGGAUGAUAAUGACAGUACCGGGAGAAUAAGCUCCGGCUAACUCCGUG